GGCUACACAGUCAUUUCAAGCCAGAACUCCAUAGUGAAAGCCUGUCUCAAAAAAAACAGAACAAAACCAAAAUCUACUGCAGCAGUAAUGUUUCCCUUGGUUUGGUCAGAAGGUACAGCUAGUCCUCUGCUCUUGAAAUUCAAAAAGCUGUGACCAGUCACACAGGAAAGGACCAUCAGUCACGGAAAGGUAAUUGGGGAAAAGAAGAUACCCAAGAAGAGAGAACUGCAAUUUACGCGGCUGCUGGGCUCUAAAGUUACUGCUUUCUAUCCAGGACCAUAUUUCAAUUUUGCCGUAUCCCAUGAUACAGUGGUUAUUCUGCCUGACAGCAGAGAACAGAGAUUCAGAGAAGGCACUCAGCCAAGCUGGAUUCAAGCCCUGCCUCCAUGCAAAAAUAGAACAGGCACCAUUCCACAUGUUUUCCUUGACCUAAAAUGAAAUCUCAAAAGGGUAUAGUAGUGAUGGCAAAACUUUUAGAACUUUCCAUGAUCCGAACAGCCCAUUGCAGCGUGAGUGCCAUAGCUUUGCCACCACUAGUAUAGAGCAAAGGGGAUAUCACAAAGCUUUGUGACCCUCUGAUCUGGGUUCUCAGAAAGAACUUUCCCAUCACCUCUAACCACGAAGCCAAUUCUGAGGUCAUUCAGCAACCCUCUCUCCCCCGGAUAGAUUCAAUCUUUGCAAGACUGCCAUUGACUGCCUUGCCUGGGAGGAGCAAGGUGGACAGGGCCUUGAAAUACUGACAGUAGACUCUGGUAACAAAGUCUUUUUUGUGGUCAGGACAACAGAGGGUCUGUUGCCAUGUUCCCAGAGCAUGGCAACUCCUUCUGGAGAAGCCCCAGCUUCCAAUAGGUGGGGAGGAAAGCGCCAGCACUAGCAGGGCUAAGCUGUCAUCCUAGGACAGAUCUGAGACCAGAUCUGCUUUAUACUGAGGACAGACUGGAUUAAAGGAAGAUGAUGAAGAUAAAGUAGGAGGAGAAGACUGGCAGCAGUGUGGAAAGACUAAGAGGGGAGAAAUGGGGAUGGGUCAAGCCUAUAUUAAAAGGAGACACUAGAGACUGAGAUACAGCUCAGUGCUGCAACACUAGCCUAGAACAUGUGAGGCCUUCAUUCUAUCUCAGGCGCACACUCCCUCCCACAGAGAGAGACAGAAGGAGCAAACCCCGCUUCCUGCACAUACAAGGCAAUUGCUCUACUGCUGAGCUGCACCCCCAGGCUGAUGAGUUAAUUAUUUUGCCUGAUAAUUUACAUCUUCUUGGCCUCUUCCUUAGGUCUUACCUCUCAGGCCUUCAGAACCCAAGGUAGGACUUUGUGAAAUUUUUUUAGUAUUGAGUAAUAAAAUGCAAAAUGUGAGUAACAAUGCAGACUUACAUUUCAAAGAUUCUUUCAUGAGAGAAAGCGGGUAGAGGAGACUGCACUAGAACAGGUGACUCCAAGUCCCAGCUCUGGGGCUAAAACAAGUUCCUUUCCCUUUCUGAGCUUUAGUACUUCUGCCUGUAGAUGAGGGCAGUAAAACUCUUGGAUAGGGUGAUCUCUUUCUGAUAUAGGACAAUGUGUGAGCCCGUGGUGGCAAGGCUCUGAUUAACAGUAUCUUCACUGCCCUUCCAUGUGGGCCCAAAGCAGUGGUGCUAAAGCACAGGAGCAGAAAGAGCCCUGUGCUUUCUCCCAGGAGCAGCAGGGCCUGAAGCGGGUGGGAUGGGGAGAGGCCAAGGGUCCCCGUGACUGCCCAAGCAAAUCCCAGA